CUCACCACCGUUCCAAACCCCACGCACGCACUCACCACCGUUCCAAUCCCGCACCCGCACCCGCUCGCCGAAACCCUAGCCGCCGCCGCCCCCUCCCCCUCCCCCCCCCCAAGAUCGCACCAACCACCCCGAUGGCCGCCGCCGCACCGCCGCACGCCGCGGCGCUCCUGGACGCCCUCCCCCUUCUCCAUCGCCGCCUCCCCCUUCUCCCCUAGAUCCAAUCGCCCUCGUCCCCCUCGUCCACCGGCCCCUUCCUCUCGUCACCACACCUUGCCGCCGGCCUUACUCCCCCCUCUUCUCCGCCCCACCCCACUCCCUCCACCUACCGCAUCCACAGAGCCAUAACCCCUCGCCCCCGCGUGCCCUCGUCGGCUCUGCCUCUCGCACCUCACCUUCGCCGCAUACCUGCCGCAACCCACCCCCGGCCCGCGGCUCCUCGUCGUCCUCAUCUCCCCCGACUCCCUCGCUCUCCCCCCUCCCCCUGCAGCAGUCCCGCACGCCCAUCCGCAUCUACCUCCACCCGUUGAGCAGCAGCAGGUCAGGCGGCGGCCAGAUCCGCCGCGUUGCUUCCGGAUCCGCGCCCUCGUCACGCGCGCUCGACACCAUGGAACUCGUCAACAAGGUCGUCGUCAAGCCCUCGAUCUGGCUGCGACCUCCAGCGCGCUCGCGCCGCUGAUGGGCAUAGGCUGGUCCAUGCACACUGGUGAUGGUGGCUCACCAAGGUUGCCGUCGUCGCCUGGACGCACGAGGCACCCGAUGACCUCCUCCAUCGCCAACCACCAGCACCCAUCUGGAGGAUUUGCAUUCUAUCCCCUCCCCCACAUGAACGACCUCCUGCCCGCAACCAUGACACGCACGGGAGAGCUCAGCUCACCUUCAUGGGCGCCCUCUUGCUGGACACCGAUAAGGCACAUCAGUAGAGCUCAGCUCACCUUCAUCAGCUCGCCUUCAUGGGUCGGGUUGUCGCAGGUUCCAUGGAGCCCCCCUCCCCUCGUCAAGCUCGGCGCCAAGAGCGAGGAGGUGCUCUUCGCCUCGCCUCGCCUCGCACAAGCGACGUCAUCUGCUCUUUCACUAGUGUCGACCCUUGCUUUAAUUGCUAAUAAUACACGCAUGCUCCACAACUAAUACAGAAGAUGCAUUUCCAUCCCAUCUAGUAGGUGCUGACUUGAUGCAAACAAAUAAAAUAAAAUUAGUAUGUGUUGACUGCUCACAUCCCAUAUAUGCUGAACGAUGCUAACUGCUGUACCAAUGUGAUGUUGCUUGCUUGAUGAGUGGUUGUCAUUAACUAGAAAGAAGAAGAAGAAAACCUUGUCAAUUUAUUUGAGUAGAAUCAUGUAUCCCAUACUUGUAUUUGCAUGUUUGCUUGCUUGCUUGCUUGUAGCACUAUCAAGUGUGAGGAAAUUCAGUACUAGGAUGUGUGGAGAUGGGACGCUGUUGGAUCAUUAGCACUUGUAGCACUAUCAAGUUUGUACUGAUUGCAGAUAGAAAACCUUGUAAUUUUUUUCUGUAAGCUAAACUUUGUGAUUUAAUUUUUGGAAGCUAAACAUUGUAAGUCUAUUAAGAAACUUGAGCAAAAUUAGUCCACAAGUUAGUUGAAGUCACAAGUGCCUUUUAUUAACAGAGUCUUCUGCCAGGGCGAAUGUUAUAUUCAAAACCACUUCUGAUCACUUUGUGUUUUCUUUUUUAAUAUUUUGUUGUGUCUUGCUUGUUGGGAAUUGAUCUAGUUAAGUGGCUGACUGGGAAUAUUAUGCUGUCAAGUUCGUGUCUUGGUGCAUCUGAGAAUGUUGUUUCUUUCUUUCUUUCUUCCUUUUGUUGCAAACCUGAAAAGAAAGUGCAAUGUGAACCUGGAAGGUGCAUGUACUGCUGCUACUUUUGUGUGCCAACUGCUAUACUAGUUGGUUUGUGAUGAUCCAAACAAGUCGACAACAGUAGUACUGUUGGCAGUUGGUGUUUAAUUUCAUUGCUACCAUGGUAUUUAUUCUUUCGACAUGUCAUGUAUAUGCUUGGUUCCCUGAUGGGUGCACUUUCUAACACGCGCAGGUGCAAGACAGAGACACGCCACCAUGCAAUGAUUCUUCUUCCACUCGCAGGCCUCCCACUCCAAUAACUCUUUUUCUGCUCUAACAUAGCAUAGCUGGGUGACAGAGGAAGCCAUGUUGCAGUUUUGUUUGUCGCCAGCCCUGACUUCGGUCGUCCAGCGAGUCUGGCAUGUUGUUCAUCUGACUCCGGUCGUCCAGCGAGUCUGUCAUGUUGUUCAUCCAACUACAGUCGUCCAACGCGUCUGGCAUGUUGUCACUUUCUUGUAAAGCAGUACUGUAUUACACUUGUAGAGCUCGUUAGUACACUUGUAGAGCUUGAAAGUACUGCAUUACACAUGGUCAUGUAUUGGCACGUAUAGAGCUUGUUAUUGUGAUUGCCAUUGUAUUAUGUGAUCUGGUUGCUCUUAUUUGAA